UUGACCUCGGAUCAGGUAGGACUACCCGCUGAACUUAAGCAUAUCAAUAAGCGGAGGAAAAGAAACCAACAGGGAUUGCCCCAGUAACGGCGAGUGAAGCGGCAACAGCUCAGAUUUGGAAUCUGGCCCCCAGGGCCCGAGUUGUAAUCUGGAGAGGAUGCUUCUGGCGCGGCGCCUUCCGAGUUCCCUGGAACGGGACGCCGGAGAGGGUGAGAGCCCCGUACGGUUGGACGCCUAGCCUUUGUGAAGCUCCUUCGACGAGUCGAGUAGUUUGGGAAUGCUGCUCAAAAUGGGAGGUAAAUUUCUUCUAAAGCUAAAUACCGGCCAGAGACCGAUAGCGCACAAGUAGAGUGAUCGAAAGAUGAAAAGCACUUUGAAAAGAGGGUCAAACAGUACGUGAAAUUGUUGAAAGGGAAGCGCCCGUGGCCAGACUUGUGCCCCGCGGACCACCCGGCGCCCUCAGCGCCGGUGCACUCCGCGGGGCGCAGGCCAGCAUCGGUUUUCCUAGGGGGAUAAAGGCGGCGGGAACGUGGCUCCUUCGGGAGUGUUAUAGCCCGUCGUGCCAUGCCCCUGGGGGGACCGAGGACCGCGCUUCGGCAAGGAUGCUGGCGU
rnacentral:rRNA from 1 species